rnacentral:rRNA from 1 species
CAGCAGCCGCGGUAAUUCCAGCUCCAAUAGCGUAUAUUAAAGUUGUUGCAGUUAAAAAGCUCGUAGUUGAAUUUCGGGGUCAGUAGGUCGGUCGUGCCACUGGUAUGAACUGGUUUUACUGAUUCCUCCCUCUUGAAGAACUGUAAUGCCAUUAAUUUGUUGUUGCAGGGAAUCAGGACUGUUACUUUGAAAAAAUUAGAGUGUUUAAAGCAGGCUUUAGCUUGAAUACAUUAGCAUGGAAUAAUGAAAUAGGACGUUUGAUCCUAUUUUGUUGGUUUCUAGGAUUGACGUAAUGAUUAAUAGGGAUAGUUGGGGGCAUUAGUAUUCAAUUGUCAGAGGUGAAAUUCUUGGAUUUAUUGAAGACUAACUACUGCGAAAGCAUUUGCCAAGGAUGUUUUCAUUAAUCAAGAACGAAAGUUAGGGGAUCGAAGACGAUCAGAUACCGUCGUAGUCUUAACCAUAAACUAUGCCGACUAGGGAUCGGAUGAUGUUAAUUUUUUAAUGACUCAUUCGGCGCCUUACG